AUCAGCCUGAUGCUCACGUGUUUCCACCUGGAUGUGGUGAAGGGGAGCUCUCGGGACGGAUCGGGCUGCUGCGCUCUGUACUAGGCCGCAGCUGGAGGACACCUGCCUCUCCUGCAGUACCUCAUACAGGACGGAUGUGAGGUUGAUAUUCGGGACGCCCCUCAUGAUCGUAUCGGUCAUAACUGGAGACACAGCUGCAGCUUCACUGUUAAUCACAGCUGGUGCUGAUGUUAAUGUUCAGGACAGAGACGGGUAAACACCACUGAUGGCUGGCGUUAGCCAAAUGGCGCACGCAUUUGAAAGGAAGAAUAUCAUCAGUCUGUUUGUGGACGAGAAGUGAGAGACGUCAGACUAAAUGACAAACCACACAUCAGUUUCAUAAACAACUUUACUAGCGCUGCCCUUUAUGCUGACUGAUAUUUGUGUGCUGCAGCCAUCAACAUACAGUAUCUUAUUUCACAUUUCUUGAUUUAUCAAAGAUGUAUCAUAAAAAAGCAGUUUACACCCGUGACACUGAAGAAAAUAUGAAAAGAAUGUUACAUGAGCAGAUUUACUGAGUGCGGCUACAACGUGAUUCAAAGUGAAUAAUAGUAAAUGAUAACUGAGAUUAAAACAAGCAAGGCAGUUAACCUAGAGACACGUGAUCAUCGUAUCAAGUCAACGUCUAGAUCUGAACAGUCUCUGUGCGUACUAUAAUGCACUGUGUGGUUUAACACUGUAAAAAGGCAACGGGACACUCAUUAUGUUUGCUAAUACAGUGAAUGAAGAUGAAUUUACAAAUGUAAACACAGAUAUAAUGGCACUCAUAAGGCGUCAGAAUACAGGCCUAAAGUUUGAGAUCAUAAAUGGCUCAGUGGCAUAAAGUAAUAAGACUCAAUAAUAAUAAGUCUCAGUGCCAAACAUCAACCUGCAAAUGGAGAGUGAAUUUUGCCAGCUAUAUACAUUUCUUAUUAAAAUACAUUAUAUUCAAAACGUUGGGUAACUUUCAGUAAUAUUUU